rnacentral:rRNA from 1 species
UCAGAUGGCGACCGGCGCACGGGUGAGUAACACGUAUCCAACCUGCCGCUUACUCGGGGAUAGCCUUUCGAAAGAAAGAUUAAUACCCGAUGGUAUAAAGAGUUCGCAUGUUCUCUUUAUUAAAGAAUUCGGUAAGCGAUGGGGAUGCGUUCCAUUAGAUAGUUGGCGGGGUAACGGGCCCACCAAGUCUACGAUGGAUAGGGGUUCUGAGAGGAAGGUCCCCCCACAUUGGAACUGAGACACGGUCCAAACUCCUACGGGAGGCAGCAGUGAGGAAUAUUGGUCAAUGGACGAGAGUCUGAACCAGCCAAGUAGCGUGAAGGAUGACUGCCCUAUGGGUUGUAAACUUCUUUAUAAGGGAAUAAAGUGAGGGACGUGUCCCUUUUUGUAUGUACCUUAUGAAUAAGGAUCGGCUAACUCCGUGCCAGCAGCAGC